rnacentral:rRNA from 1 species
GAGUUUGAUCAUGGCUCAGAUUGAACGCUGGCGGCAUGCUUUACACAUGCAAGUCGAGCGGCAGCGCGGGGGCAACCCUGGCGGCGAGCGGCGAACGGGUGAGUAAUGCAUCGGAACGUGUCCCGUAGUGGGGGAUAACGCCGCGAAAGCGGCGCUAAUACCGCAUAUGCUCUACGGAGGAAAGCAGGGGACCUGAGAGGGCCUUGUGCUGGGGGAGCGGCCGAUGUCCGAUUAGCUUGUUGGUGGGGUAACGGCCUACCAAGGCUGCGAUCGGUAGCUGGUCUGAGAGGAUGAUCAGCCACACUGGGACUGAGACACGGCCCAGACUCCUACGGGAGGCAGCAGUGGGGAAUUUUGGACAAUGGGGGCAACCCUGAUCCAGCCAUGCCGCGUGCGGGAAGAAGGCCUUCGGGUUGUAAACCGCUUUUAGCCGGGAAGAAAAGUCUACGGAUAACACCCGUGGGUUUUGACGGUACCGGCGGAAUAAGCACCGGCUAACUACGUGCCAGCAGCCGCGGUAAUACGUAGGGUGCGAGCGUUAAUCGGAAUUACUGGGCGUAAAGCGUGCGCAGGCGGUUCGUUGUGUCGGUGGUGAAAGCCCCGGGCUUAACCUGGGAAUGGCCAUGGAAACUGGCGAACUGGAGUGUGGCAGAGGGGGGUGGAAUUCCGCGUGUAGCAGUGAAAUG